UACGUAGGGUGCAAGCGUUGUCCGGAAUUAUUGGGCGUAAAGAGCUUGUAGGCGGUUUGUCGCGUCUGCUGUGAAAUUUCGGGGCUCAACCCCGAACUUGCAGUGGGUACGGGCAGACUAGAGUGUGGUAGGGGAGACUGGAAUUCCUGGUGUAGCGGUGAAAUGCGCAGAUAUCAGGAGGAACACCGAUGGCGAAGGCAGGUCUCUGGGCCAUAACUGACGCUGAGGAGCGAAAGCGUGGGGAGCGAACAGG
rnacentral:rRNA from 1 species